rnacentral:rRNA from 1 species
AAUGAAUUAUUUGUCCACAGAAAGAACAACAUGAUCAAGGAUGUAGAGGAGAAAUUUGUCUAUCCAUCUGAGACAAAGCAGCUUACACGAGACUGGGUCCUAAUGACUGUUUGCAAAAGAUGGAGAGCCUACAAAUCUUGCUUGAAGAAAAAAUAUUUCAAACGAAAAGAGAGGUCUCUCCAGGAAAUUAUUAGUGAUGUUCCAAUAGGUGUUAAUAAGCAUCAAUGGGAGACUCUAGUUGGAAUGUGGUGCCAGGAUUCACACAUGUUAUGCGAGAAAAAUACAGAGUGUGCGAAGCAACAGAAGAAUCCACACACAACCGGGAGAAAAAGC